rnacentral:sRNA from 2 species
GUCUCCGUUGGUGAACCAGCGGAGGGAUCAUUACCGAGUUUACAACUCCCAAACCCCUGUGAACAUACCUUAAUGUUGCCUCGGCGGAUCAGCCCGCGCCCCGUAAAACGGGACGGCCCGCCAGAGGACCCAAACUCUAAUGUUUCUUAUUGUAACUUCUGAGUAAAACAAACAAAUAAAUCAAAACUUUCAACAACGGAUCUCUUGGUUCUGGCAUCGAUGAAGAACGCAGCAAAAUGCGAUAAGUAAUGUGAAUUGCAGAAUUCAGUGAAUCAUCGAAUCUUUGAACGCACAUUGCGCCCGCUGGUAUUCCGGCGGGCAUGCCUGUUCGAGCGUCAUUUCAACCCUCAAGCCCCCGGGUUUGGUGUUGGGGAUCGGCUCUGCCUUCUGGCGGUGCCGCCCCCGAAAUACAUUGGCGGUCUCGCUGCAGCCUCCAUUGCGUAGUAGCUAACACCUCGCAACUGGAACGCGGCGCGGCCAUGCCGUAAAACCCCAACUUCUGAAUGUUGACCUCGGAUCAGGUAGGAAUACCCGCUGAACUUAAGCAUAUCAAUAAGCGGAGGAAAAGAAACCAACAGGGAUUGCCCUAGUAACGGCGAGUGAAGCGGCAACAGCUCAAAUUUGAAAUCUGGCUUUCGGGCCCGAGUUGUAAUUUGUAGAGGAUACUUUUGAUGCGGUGCCUUCCGAGUUCCCUGGAACGGGACGCCAUAGAGGGUGAGAGCCCCGUCUGGUUGGAUGCCAAAUCUCUGUAAAGUUCCUUCGACGAGUCGAGUAGUUUGGGAAUGCUGCUCUAAAUGGGAGGUAUAUGUCUUCUAAAGCUAAAUAUUGGCCAGAGACCGAUAGCGCACAAGUAGAGUGAUCGAAAGAUGAAAAGCACUUUGAAAAGAGAGUUAAAAAGUACGUGAAAUUGUUGAAAGGGAAGCGUUUAUGACCAGACUUGGACUUGGUUAAUCAUCUGGGGUUCUCUCCAGUGCACUUUUCCAGUUCAGGCCAGCAUCAGUUUUCGCCGGGGGAUAAAGGCAGCGGGAAUGUGGCUCUCUUCGGGGAGUGUUAUAGCCCGCUGUGUAAUACCCUGGUGGGGACUGAGGUUCGCGCUUCUGCAAGGAUGCUGGCGUAAUGGUCAUCAACGACCCGUCUUGAAACACGGACCAAGGAGUCGUCUUCGUAUGCGAGUGUUCGGGUGUCAAACCCCUACGCGUAAUGAAAGUGAACGCAGGUGAGAGCUUCGGCGCAUCAUCGACCGAUCCUGAUGUUCUCGGAUGGAUUUGAGUAAGAGCAUACGGGGCCGGACCCGAAAGAAGGUGAACUAUGCCUGUAUAGGGUGAAGCCAGAGGAAACUCUGGUGGAGGCUCGCAGCGGUUCUGACGUGCAAAUCGAUCGUCAAAUAUGGGCAUGGGGGCGAAAGACUAAUCGACUUACUACG